rnacentral:tRNA from 1 species
GGGGCGAUAGCUCAGCUGGGAGAGCGAUUGCAUGGUAUGCAAGGGGCAGCGGUUCGAUCACGCUUGGCUCCACCA